AAUCUGAGACGCGCGCCGGGCUCGAACCGCUCCGCUACUUCCUCGUGCCUGCGAAGUUUUCGUCGGUUCCGCCCUCAUCGGCCGUCUGCCUUACGAGCUCGGCUUUCCUUGCCCAGCGGUGGCGCGAGCGGUGCGGACGACGAGAGACAGGAAUGCGCCGGCAGGUCCGUCCGGGCUUCGGACGAGCUGCGCUUUGCGUGGUUGUACAGCCGACCCAGCAAGGCUGAGGCGAAAGAGCAGGAGUCGGAGGCAGAACGCUUCAAAAAUGCAGCAUUGAUCCGAAGACAGCUACUGAACUGGAGCUGUUCUACUGCUCCUAUUCAGAUCUGGCUGAAACCACUGAGUUCUGCAUAACAAUGUCUUUGGGACACUUAAGCAAAGGAGUCAGCCUAGAUGAACUUAUUGAUACAUGUAUUGAUUCUUUUGAUGCAGAUGGAAACUUGUGUAAAAAUUACCAGCUCCUGACAGUAACUUUAACCAUGCAUCGACUUAUCAUCUCCUCCUCUGAGAUACUGCGAAAACUAAUAGAU